rnacentral:rRNA from 1 species
CCUACGGGAGGCAGCAGUGGGGAAUAUUGCACAAUGGGGGAAACCCUGAUGCAGCAACGCCGCGUGAGGGAGGGAGUAUUUCGGGAUGUAAAGCUCUAUCAGCAGGGAAUAGAAAAGAAGGUACCUGAAAAAGAAGCCCCGGCGAACUACGUGCCAGCAGCCGCGGUAAUACGUAGGGGGCAAGCGUUAUCCGGAUUUACUGGGUGAAAAGGGAGCGUAGGCGGCAAGGCAAGUCAGAAGUGAAAGCCCAAGGCUCAACCAUGGUACUGCUUUUGAAACUGUCAAAUUAGAGUACGGGAGACGUAAGAGGAAUGCCUAGUGUAGCGGUGAAAUGCGUAGAUAUUAGGAGGAACACCAGUGGCGAAGGCGUCUUACUGGACCGCAACUGACGUUGAGGCUCGAAAGCGUGGGUAGCAAACAGGAUUAGAUACCCUGGUAGUC